GAUGGGUGUUUGUUUCUUUUGCCAAAUGGUCAUGGUCUUCCAUCUUUGAUGCAUGACAGCAGCAGCAACAAUACACUACCUUUCCUUUCAGAGAUGUGUUGGUAAUGAUCAUUUGUAACUUAGGAUCCGGUAGGUGCAAGAACUUGGUGAUUGUUUUUGGCAGAAUCGUGUGACUGGACUUGGAAGAGUUUUUGGCAGCUUGGUUUUUGCCCAAUUGUGCAGCUUGUGGAUUAUGUAUGACGGUUUUGUGUGCAGUAGCUUGUUGUGUUGUGGAGAUGCUGUUGUGCAACUUGUGUAGAUUAUGUAUGAUGGUUGUGUCCAGUUGUGGAGAUGCUGUUUGUGUAGAUUAUGUAUGACGGUUUUGUUUGCAGCAGCUUGUGCUGUGGAGAUGCUAUAGUGUAGUUUGUGUAGAUGAUGUAUAGCAUGUGUGCAUCCACAUGGGAGUGUUGUGGAGACCCUGCUUUGUAGCUUGUGUAGAUUAUGUAUUUCCACUGUAGUGAAGAAGGUUACAGAUUAUGUAUAUGAACUUAAUUAAGAGAAUCUCAUUGUUAUUUAUAAAAAUAAUUAAUGCA